GUACACUCCUGCGGGAGGCAGCAGUGGGGAAUUUUGGACAAUGGGCGAAAGCCUGAUCCAGCAAUGCCGCGUGAGUGAAGAAGGCCUUCGGGUUGUAAAGCUCUUUUGUCAGGGAAGAAACGGUGAAAGCUAAUAUCUUUUGCUAAUGACGGUACCUGAAGAAUAAGCACCGGCUAACUACGUGCCAGCAGCCGCGGUAAUACGUAGGGUGCAAGCGUUAAUCGGAAUUACUGGGCGUAAAGCGUGCGCAGGCGGUUUUGUAAGUCUGAUGUGAAAUCCCCGGGCUCAACCUGGGAAUUGCAUUGGAGACUGCAAGGCUAGAAUCUGGCAGAGGGGGGUAGAAUUCCACGUGUAGCAGUGAAAUGCGUAGAUAUGUGGAGGAACACCGAUGGCGAAGGCAGCCCCCUGGGUCAAGAUUGACGCUCAUGCACGAAAGCGUGGGGAGCAAACAGGAUUAGAAACCCGAGUAGUCCCAU
rnacentral:rRNA from 1 species